UGAUAAUGGGAGUUUCUGCAUUACUUUUCGCUUUUGCUUUAAGGAAUAACUGAUUUUGUCGUAUCAAGGUAAUUCGUCCUCGAAAUCCAACAGAUAAACCUCUAGCUCAAAAAUGAAAUCUAACAUCAUGUUUCUUAUGGUUGUGAUUUUGUCAUUUAAAGAGUGCCAUUCGUCGUGCACGGCGGAGCAAGUAUCAGAAAAUUCCCUUGGAUGUACUUAUAAAGGUAACUUUAUACCAAAGGGAGUGACCAAAAGCUUUUACCAGCCUGAGUGUGUCAGAUGCAGCUGUUCUGAAACAAUGCAUUCAUGCUGUUCAAUAGGCAUUACAAUAACAAGUGUGGGGCCAGAAUGUGAAAUUGUUCAGGAAGGUUGUACUCAACGUGCAGUUUUGAAGUCUGAUAGUAGUGAAGCAUGUUCUACGGUUACUGCAAUUGGCAGGUAAACCAGUUGGAUCCUGAUUCGUUAUAAGUGGAAGUGUUGUAGUAUUUGAAAUUAAAGCCAUGUUCCAGACAGUAUGGGACUUUCA